rnacentral:rRNA from 1 species
UACGAAGGGGGCUAGCGUUGUUCGGAAUUACUGGGCGUAAAGCGCACGUAGGCGGAUUUGUAAGUCAGGGGUGAAAUCCCGGGGCUCAACCUCGGAACUGCCUUUGAUACUGCAAGUCUUGAGUCCGAUAGAGGUGAGUGGAAUUCCUAGUGUAGAGGUGAAAUUCGUAGAUAUUAGGAAGAACACCAGUGGCGAAGGCGGCUCACUGGCCCGGUACUGACGCUGAGGCGCGAAAGCGUGGGGAGCAAACAGG